rnacentral:lncRNA from 1 species
AAAAACAUAGGGUCAUGCGGCAUUUUUGGGCAUUCACAUGGCCUUGUUUACAAACAAUGUAGAUUCGCACUGAAUUCCUAUACUGACCCCCAUUACUUUUCAACCCUGAAGGGGAAAAAAUUAGUACAUUCAGCAUAUAUUUUUUUUUUUUUCAACUCUAGUUUUGAUCCAUCUACCAAAAAAUAUUUAUUACAAACAUUAUCUGCCAAUCAGAAGAGCAUAUAACUUCAGUGUUAUACAGAAAGCUCUCCCCUAAAUGGGCGGUCCCUGAUGACGUAUAUUUAUUUACUGAAUUUACCCCUAUAAGGGACUUUUUUACUUCUUUUCCAACUUUUUUUGUAAUAAACAUGUAAUGUAUCCAAUUUUCAAGUUCCAGUUUCAAUACAACCUUCAUAAAUGCUGAAUUUGUAAAGAUAGAGCAAAAUUUAUACUACAGCCCAUACUGCGGCCAAUGUAUAUUUGGUAUAUAAAGUUGCGCAUUGACUGUUUUUAAAAGAAUGGUGUAAAAUACUAUGUUUAAUA